GGAAGGAUCAAUAGCGAGUGAGGAGUGAGUGAGAGGAGAAGUAGUAGGGGGGAAUGAGGAAGGUGGUGGGCUCUAGGGCGGGCAAGGGAGUGGAUGUGAGAGUGGUAGUGCAGUAAUGCAGUAGUAGUACUCGCUCGCCCACUCGCUCUGGCAGUAAUGACGUAUCCACCAGUAGUAACACUACAAGUAGUAUCACUACAUCACACACACACACACACAACAGCCUCGUAUCAAUGGAUCUCUCGGCUCUUGUAUCGAAGAAGAACGCAGCCAAUUGCGAAAAGUAAUGUGAGAUGCAUUCUUUGAGAAACAUUUAGUAUUUGAACGCACAUUGUUCCACUUUCCACUGGAAAGGGGAGGUUCUGUUUGAGCAUGGCGAGUAUAUUCACAUUUGUGAGAGAUGAGAAUCAAGUGUUGAUUCUUGAAAUAGAUGGCACAGUGCGUUGUGAACGUCUUUAGCACGCACUCAAGAUGAAUGGGAUAGUAGAUGUAUUGCAUUCAACAGGCCACCUGGGUGGUGGGGGUGCAGAGAGUGUACAGUGGUGUAUUCACACUGUACAGUGUGUAUUCACACUGCUACACUCCCUCACAUCCACUCACUCACACAUAUCCACACCCAUCUCAAAUCAGAAUAGUCUACCCGCUAAACUUAAGCAUAUCAGUAAGCGGAGGAAAAGAAACUAACAAGGAUUCCUCAAGUAACGGCGAGUGAAAGGGGAAAAGCUCACAAUUGAAAUCUGUCACACUGGUGACAGAAAUGUAAUUGUCGCAGGAGGACUGGCGUGACACGGCGGUAGUUCCUUGGAACAGGACAGCACAGAGGGUGAGACUCCCGUAUGCCGGUGUCACGACGGGCCGUUGCUUGCGAGCACAACGAGUCGGAUUGUUUGGGAAUGCAAUCCUAAAUGGGUGGUACAUACCAUCUAAAGCUAAAUAGAGACAAGAGACCGAUAGCAAACAAGUACCGUGAGGGAAAGAUGAAAAGGACUCUGAAGAGAGAGUUAAAAGUAUGUGAAAUUGGUACGAGGGAAACGAGUAGUAUGGGUGAGCAGGGAGCGAGGAAGGGAGUGAGUGAGUGCAUGUAUGUGCACUUGCUUGCAUAACUCACACUCGCCCCGGUCGACGGUCAUUCACUUGCGGUGAAAAGGAUCACGGUCAACUAGACUCGUCUGGUGGACGGUGGGAGAUGACCACAGGGAGAUGGCACGAGACACACAACAUACUUGUCGACCCGUCUUGAAACACGGACCAAGGAGUGCAACGGAGGUGCGAGUUUUUGGGUGGCAAACCCUCAAGCGUAAAAAACAUGAGCACACAAGUGGGAGCAGAUGCUAGUACUCGUACUAGCAAUAGUACCCGUGCUAGUAGAUGCGCACCGCGGCCCGACUUUACACUCUGUAAGGCCGAGGUUCAGCAUCUCCGCUGCGACCCGAAAGAUGGUGAACUAUGCCAGACCAGGGUCAAGCCAGCGGAAACACUGGUGGAGGCUCGACAAGAUUCUGACGUGCAAAUCGAUCUUUAGAGUUUGGUAUAGGGGCGAAAGACCAAUCGAACCAUCUAGUAGCUGGUUCCCUC
rnacentral:misc_RNA from 1 species